rnacentral:rRNA from 1 species
CCCAAGGGUCCGGCUGUUCGCCGGUUAAAGUGGUACGCGAGCUGGGUUCAGAACGUCGCGAGACAGUUCGGUCCUUAUCCACUGUGGGCGCAGGAGAAUUGAGGGGUUCACUUUCUAGUACGAGAGGACCGAGAGUGACGAACCUCUGGUGUUCCGGUUGUCGUGUCAACGGCAUUGCCGGGCAGCUAUGUUCGGAAAGGAUAAGCGCUGAAAGCAUCUAAGCGCCAAGCCUCUCCCAAGAUGAGUUCUCCCUGAAGAUCCGUGGUAGACCACCACGUUGAUAGGUUGCAGGUACAAGCACGGUAACGUGUUCAGCUUAGCAAUACUAAUGAUCGUUCGGCUUUAUUAG